rnacentral:rRNA from 1 species
AUUGAACGCUGGCGGCAGGCCUAACACAUGCAAGUCGAACGGAUCCUUCGGGAUUAGUGGCGGACGGGUGAGUAACGCGUGGGAACAUACCCAAAGGUACGGAAUAGCCUCGGGAAACUGGGAGUAAUACCGUAUGUGCUCGAAAGAGGAAAGAUUUAUCGCCUUUGGAUUGGCCCGCGUUGGAUUAGGUAGUUGGUGGGGUAAUGGCCUACCAAGCCGACGAUCCAUAGCUGGUUUGAGAGGAUGAUCAGCCACACUGGGACUGAGACACGGCCCAGACGCCUACGGGAGGCAGCAGUGGGGAAUGUUAGAAAAUGGGGGAAACCCUGAUCUAGCCAUGCCGCGUGAUCGAUGAAGGCCUUAGGGUUGUAAAGAUCUUUCAGGUGGGAAGAUAAUGACUGUACCACCAGAAGAAGCCCCGGCUAACUCCGUGCCAGCCGCCGCCGUAA